AAGCACAGGCUAACUCUGUGCCAGCAGCCCGGUAAUACAGAGGGUGCGAGCGUUAAUCGGAUUUACUGGGCGUAAAGCGUGCGUAGGCGGCUUAUUAAGUCGGAUGUGAAAUCCCCGAGCUUAACUUGGGAAUUGCAUUCGAUACUGGUGAGCUAGAGUAUGGGAGAGGAUGGUAGAAUUCCAGGUGUAGCGGUGAAAUGCGUAGAGAUCUGGAGGAAUGCCGAUGGCGAAGGCAGCCAUCUGGCCUAAUACUGACGCUGAGGUACGAAAGCAUGGGGAGCAAACAGGAUUAGAUACCCUGGUAGUCCAUGCCGUAAACGAUGUCUACUAGCCGUUGGGGCCUUUGAGGCUUUAGUGGCGCAGCUAACGCGAUAAGUAGACCGCCUGGGGAGUACGGUCGCAAGACUAAAACUCAAAUGAAUUGACGGGGGCCCGCACAAGCGGUGAGAGCAUGUGGUUUAAUUCGAUGCAACGCGAAGAACCUUACCUGGCCUUGACAUACUAGAAACUUUCCAGAGAUGGAUUGGUGCCUUCGGGAAUCUAGAUACAGGUGCUGCAUGGCUGUCGUCAGCUCGUGUCGUGAGGUGUUGGGUUAAGUCCCGCAACGAGCGCAACCCUUUUCCUUACUUGCCAGCAUUUCGGAUGGGAACUUUAAGGAUACUGCCAGUGACAAACUGGAGGAAGGCGGGGACGACGUCAAGUCAUCAUGCCCUUACGGCCAGGGCUACAC
rnacentral:rRNA from 1 species